CUUAUGGGUAGCCAAGAGAUUUAGGCUUAGGGUUUGUGACGAGAGCAAUCUCACCACAUUGCAUUGGAGAAGCCUGGUUGCUCGUCUGUUGCCCAGUCUCCAUUCCCCAGCGGCAGUAUGAUUUAUUGGGAAUUGGGAGCACAGUCUCCAUUCCCCAGCGGCAGUAUGAUUUAUUGGGAAUUGGGAGCCCAGUCUCCAUUCCCCAGCGGCAGUGUGAUAUGGAGGGAAUUGGGAGCCCUGUCUCCAUUCCCCAGCGGCAGGCUGAGUUACAGGGGGCAGAGACAGUUGGUCCUGUCCCCCAGUGGCAGUGUACCUUGCAGGGAGAGGAGAGCAGCGUUCUCCCUCCCCAGUGGCAGGGUGACCUACAGGGAUGCUGGGCAGUCGGCUCAGAUCCCCAGCGGCAGUUUGAAUUACAGGAGUCUGGUCUCCAUUUCCCAGUGGCAGGCUGAGUUAUUGGGAAUAGGGAGCCCAGUCUUAUUAAAGGCUUAUUCGUGCCUUUCUGCCCGGCGGUCGGUAGAUUCAAUCUACCGAACUAACGCACAAAUGACUGGACCACCUGGGAGCUGGAGUGUGUCGGCAAUUAACCUCCCAGAAGCUGCGGUUCACCGCAGCUUAAUUGACGAAUGCUGGGUGGCCUUUGUUCGGUUGCCGAACACGUGGCGGUGGCCAGUUUAAAGUCCCGAACGGCCAGCGGUGUUCAGUGCCCAAACUGUGGAACUGUAAACGGACACUUAUUUGCGCGAACACCGCUGAGCCGUCAGCAUCCUUGCUUCUGCAUUCGGUCAGUUAACCGAAUGCCUGUUCAUUCGGUAGUUUAAACCGUAUGAACAGCAUUACCCCAGAUAGCCAUCCCGUGGAGUCUUUUCAUAUGGAGAACAGACUUUAGGAACACUUUAACUCCACGGCGAUUGGACUGUGUGCAUAGGAUCUGAGCGCUA